CUAGCUUACGUGGAGGCGCUGGUGGGAUACUACCCUAGCUGUGUUGGCUUUCUAACCCGCACCACUUAUCGUGGUGGGAGACAGUGUCAGGCGGGCAGUUUGACUGGGGCGGUCGCCUCCUAAAAGGGAACGGAGGCGCUCAAAGGUUCCCUCAGAAUGGUUGGAAAUCAUUCAUAGAGGGUAAAGGCAUAAGGGAGCUUGACUGCGAGACCUACAAGUCGAGCAGGGUCGAAAGACGGACUUAGUGAUCCGGUGGUUCCGCAUGGAAGGGCCAUCGCUCAACGGAUAAAAGCUACCCCGGGGAUAA
rnacentral:rRNA from 1 species